UAAACACGAAGCCAAGCGAUCUAUUCAAGCGCUAGCUGAAAUUGAUUUAAACAUCAAUGGAAGGCUUAACUCGUGUCUUUGCAAUAGGCUGGGAUGACGUUUGAAUAGGAGUGAAAGGCUAAUCAAGCUUGGUUAUAGCUUGAACUCCGCGAAAGUUAUUUUAGUAACGCCGCCAUAUAUAAAAAUGAGGUAAAGCACUGAUUUCGUUUUGGGUGAUUUAAUACUCUUUCAAGCGUUCUUAAACUUUGAAUACAUGUAAUAA
rnacentral:rRNA from 1 species